rnacentral:rRNA from 1 species
GCACGAGCGCACCCCUGCCUUCAGUUGCCAUCGGGUUAUGCCGGGCACUCUGAAGGGACUGCCCAGGAGAACGGGGAGGAAGGUGGGGAUGACGUCAAGUCAGCAUGGCCUUUAUGUCUGGGGCUACACACGUGCUACAAUGGCCGGUACAAAAGGCUGCAAUCCUGUAAAGGGGAGCCAAUCCUAUAAAGCCGGCCUCAGUUCGGAUUGGGGUCUGCAACUCGACCUCAUGAAGGUGGAAUCGCUAGUAAUCGCGGAUCAGCAUGCCGCGGUGAAUACGUUCCCGGGCCUUGUACACACCGCCCGUCACACCACGAAAGUCAGUUGUACUAGAAGUCGCUGGAGCGAACCCGCAAGGGACGCAGGUGCCCAAGGUAUGAUUGGUGAUUGGGGUGAAGUCGUAACAAGGUAGCCGUAGGGGAACCUGUGGCUGGAUCACCUCCUUU